rnacentral:rRNA from 1 species
GUCGAGAAUCUUCCGCAAUGGGCGCAAGCCUGACGGAGCGAUGCCGCGUGAGGGAUGAAGGCCUUCGGGUUGUAAACCUCUGUCAGAGGGGACGAAGAAUGUGACGGUACCCUCAGAGGAAGCCACGGCUAACUACGUGCCAGCAGCCGCGGUAAUACGUAGGUGGCGAGCGUUAUUCGGAUUCACUGGGCGUAAAGGGUCCGUAGGGGGUCUGCCAAGUCUGGUGUGAAAUCCCGCGGCUCAACUGCGGAACGGCACUGGAUACUGGCGGGCUAAGAGUCUGCGAGGGGUGAGCGGAAUUCCUGGUGUAGCGGUGGAAUGCGUAGAUAUCAGGAAGAACACCGAUGGCGAAGGCGGCUCACUGGCGCAGUACUGACCCUGAGGGACGAAAGCGUGGGUAGCAAACAGGAUUAGAAACCCUAGUAGUCC